UCCCCCACCGCCACUGCGAAAAAAAAAGGCAAAGAACGCAGAAGCGAAGCUGCAGCUGCAAUCGUGUGCUCAUUCACCUUGACCCCCCGUCAUGUUUGUCUUCGAGCAGGCUGCGCCUUCAUCGGCGGCAGCUGAUGUGUCGGCGUGCGCCUCCUUCAGUGAUGCAGAGCCGUACAAAAGCCUCUUCAUGAAGUGGGGCCUCCUGCGACUAGGGGAGUGGAACAUGCAUACGUACCGGUACCGCUGCCCCAGCGAGGUGCCCUCUUUCACGGAGGGAACGUUGUCCGCACAACCUGUAGCCUCGCCAUCCUCAUGUCGAACUGCGAACGCAGCCGCUGCGACUGUCUCUGCUGUCGCGCUUCGCUUUCAUGACGGUGUUGCUGCAGACUUUCUGCGCAGCCUGUUUGCGGCCCCGUGCGUGCGCUCUGAUCUAGUGGGCGAUGACGCCCAUCAUGCACAGAGCGUCUUGGGGGCUAACGAGCUCCAGUUCCGUCCUCUGACGUGCCGCUGGACGACGCUCGAGCCGUUGCGCCACGGCCUCGUAGAUGCGAAGGUUGUGCGACAGGUUCUGCGCGAUGUGGAUGGUGCAACUGUGCGAGAUGCCAAUCAGCCCGUAUACUUCCUGCCAACUGUGAAACGCGCGGAGGAGCUUCUGCCUCACGGCGAGGUCAUCAGUGAUGAGCUGCGAGCACUCUUUCUGCGGGCUCACAGCCGCCCAGUCGCACAGGCCAAAGGAGAGUGCGGCGAGCUCUACGACGCGAGCAGCCGGGAAGAUACCGACACUGACGACGAUGAUAUGUGGGGCUCGAUGAGUGGUGCGAGACUUCCAAUGCGGCAGUUGCGUGGCGUGUUCGGCAAAGAGUCGCGCGAGGAGUUCCUGUAUCACGUUGUGUGGCGACUGGUCGCCGGUAGUGGGCCCCUGAACCAGUUUGACGACGACGCGGCCGUGUACUUGGAUGCGGCGCGAGAGCUGUAUCGCCGCCUUGUCAAGUCGCUUCACGUUGUCGAAGCAACUGAGCAAGAGGCUGAUGGUGAUGUGGCGGCGUUGGAGGAGCCUAACAGCGCCUCAGUUCGGUACCACGCUGUAGUGGGCACUUCUGUUUAUCAAGUCAUCACAGCGCCAGGGAUGACGCUGUUUCCUCGUAGCGAUGGCGUGCACCCAAGCAACCUGAACUACUGCUACGUAGCGGUGAAUCCGUCGGAGCAAACUGCAACCGUUUGGUAUCAUCGGUGCUGACGCGGGACGGGCGAUGUCCUCUCUCGUGCUACGGGCGGACUCACUCACGAGCGUGGAAAGAGAAAGAUCGCCUCCCUGUCGUUCUUCAUACCUUGACUGGCGGGCAUGGCUCUCACUGGGAGGCGGUCUCUCUCUCUGUUCUCCAGAGCAGGGCAGCAGUUCUCCUCGCCUUCGCCUCCGCCCAGCGGAGAACACCGCAUAGGCACGUUGGCUCCUUCCUAUUCGCCUUCUCAGCUGCGCUUUUUUGUAGCGGUGCGGAGGCGCUCGCCUCUCCGUUACACGGUGCUCGAUGCGCGCGCACGUGCCGAUACGAGCCUCUCUGAAAGAGAGGGGCGCUCCUUCUUCGUUUGAGAGAAGGGCACGAUUGUCCGGGUCUCCACGUGCACAGAAGCGGCGGCACGGGGCGCGGGGCUCCGCUCUCUGCCGGCAGUAGUCGCCGCGUCUUCGUCACCUUUCCGUCGCCCUGGCGUGAUGGCGAUUGGGUGUGUGCUUCAGUCGUGUUUUGUCGUUUCUCUAGCGACAUGCGCCCACGACGAAGGGGGUUGUGACACAUCUCCGUGCGUGGUAUUUCAGGCUUCAGUGCCCCCAUUUCCCUGCCCCCCACUCUGUACGUGGGCGGAAGCCAAGCAGCCCUCCUCCCCUCCAUCCCCCUGCCAGGCGCUGAGCUACUUCUGGUGGUGGCAGGGCGGCGCACCUACCUACGUAGGGAGAGGUCAGAGCGAUGCACGGCUACUGACGUCGGCAGUGAGGCCCUGGCUGGCGUCGCGUCGAAGGGACCUGCGACAGUGGACGCGCUUGUGCCAUCGAUGUGAUGGGCAGGGUGUGCCAGCUUGACUCGGGCGUAUUUUACCCAGCCGCUGCUGCCCUGCUGGUGUGGGGCGUCCGCGUUUCACCCAGAGAGAGGUGCAAGGCGUGACUGCCGGCUUGAGGAGGGAGCGGCUGUGAGGUGUGGCGUGGGCAGCGCUUGAAGCGGAGACCGUGCUCCGAUGGCUGAGUCGGCGCACUUCUGUAAGGCGUGUGUCUACGAGCGCUUCUCCGCACCAGGCGAUGGGGGGCUGUGGCAGUCCGGGUGGAGUUUGGCCCAUGUUGCGAUGUAGAAAGAAGAAGCGCAACAAGGAAUCAAAAAUCUCCUUCUGCAGACGAGCGUAGCCCACAUAAGAGUCGGAGAGCGAAGCAACGGAUGCUCGAUGGGACUGCUUUUGCGUAUGCAAACAACUGCUGCCGCCGCCACUGCCCAUGGCUCUGCACACGCCUCUUUCUCUACCCUCGAUUGUUGCUUGCCCUGAGCGCCCUGCCUCGUAUUGCCGCAACUCUGGAUUACUCUCCUCCUCUCCGGGCCACAGAAGAGUACUUCAGCGUGGGGUGGGUGUGCGGGGGGAGUGCAGAUGACGACCUUCUCAGUGUGCUGACAUCUCCCGUGAAUCGAUUCUUGGAUUGACGCUGCUCAGCGCGCCCAUUACUGCCGCUCCGUCUCGCGCAUGAGCACUGCGGCGCCGGUGAUGCCGUGGGAGACGCGCCUUAUCAUGGACGCUGCCAUUCCGUUUGAAAUGGGAAGCAUAUACCUGAAGGUCAGCGUCGAGGCGGAAGUCCACGCGCUCGUGGACCAGGUGAGGCAGUCCGAAACUCGCAGUGUGCAAUAUAGCAUUAGCCGGCAGGGGCACGCGUUAUGGAGGGGCGGCCGCAAUGGCGUGCCCGCUGCUCAUGCAGAAGACGCAGAUCCUCGGGGAGGCAACAAAGUCGUCGUCCCCGCACUAACGCCAACCGCGUGCAGAUGCCCGAGCGGAUCAAGGCAGCGACGCU
rnacentral:misc_RNA from 1 species